AUGGGCGCUGCAAAGUCCACCGAGCUUAUCAGGGGCGAGCUCGUUACUGUUGUCAGUUACCAGAAGUCCGCUAUUGACAUUGCUGCAGAGUGCGCAAACACAAAUGGAGCCAAGUAUCCAUGCACAAUAAUUUGUUGGACGAAGAGAUGGAUAAUACCUGACUGCUACGCCUGGGGCAUUCCCAUUGUGUUCUUCUACCUCAACCGCUUCUCGGAGCUCCUAAGAUGGUUCCUUUCGAAGUUUGUUGAGAGCUACUACAGAUGGGUGGUGCCUAUGGAUAGGCACGGCAUGGUGCCAGACCACAGUUUCUUCCAGGUCAUCAGCUCAUGCUUGGUUGCCAUAUUGCCAGACAAAUUCUGA
rnacentral:rRNA from 1 species